GCCGGGCGUUGUGGCGGGCGCCUGUGGUCCCAGCUACUUGGGAGGCAGAGGCAGGAGACUCGCUUGAGCCCAGGAGUUGGAGGUUGCUGUGAGCUGUAAUGCCACGGCACUCUGCCCAGGGGGACAGCUUGAGGCUCUGUCUCAAAAAAAAAAAAAAAACUUAUUUUACUUUUGGUAAAUGGUAUCCAACUCUCUCACCACAUACCAAUAUCUUUUUUUUUUUGAGACAGAGCCUCAAGCUAUCCCCCUGGGCAGUGUGCCGUGGCACCACAGCAGCCUCCAACUCCUGGGCUCAAGCGAGUCUCCUGCCUCAG
rfam:Otolemur garnettii contig046735, whole genome shotgun sequence.